rnacentral:rRNA from 1 species
UUCAACGGCCGCGGUACCCUAACCGUGCGAAGGUAGCAUAAUCACUUGUUCUUUAAAUGAGGACUUGUAUCAACGGCACUACGAGGGCUAUACUGUCUCCUUUUUCUAAUCAGUGAAACUGAUCUCCCCGUGAAGAAGCGGGGAUUAAAAUAUAAGACGAGAAGACCCCAUGGAGCUUUAAACUUACCACACACCUCUGUGAUGCUCUACCAUUAAACACAAGAGAUCUGCGUGCUAGUUUUAGGUUGGGGGGACCACGGAGUAAAAUUAAACCUCCACAACAAAUGGGCUUACACCCUUAUCCACGAGACACAACUCUAAGAAUUAUUAAACUAAUGCUUAUGACCCGAUAUUCGAUCAAUGAACCAAGUUACCCUGGGGAUAACAGCGCAAUCUACUUCAAGAGCCCCUAUCGACAAGUAGGUUUACGACCUCGAUGUUGGAUCAGGGCAUCCCGGUGGUGCAGCCGCUACCGAUGGUUCGUUUGUUCAACGAUUAAAACCCU